rnacentral:lncRNA from 1 species
AGGUCAAGCGCGAGAGUAAGAACUACACAAGGAGUUAGAGUACCUUAGCAAAACUUUGCUAUCAGGUGGGCAAUUUCUUACGCGUAAAUAAAAUGCUAUGCAAAUGUUAUGCUUUAAAAUGCAAAUUGGAUCUUCAAGUAUGGUAUGCUUUAUUACGCUUAAAUGAGUUAAGCUUUAUUAUGCUGCACGUUAAAUGAUUUACGCUAUGCUGUUUAUACUAUUACGCCUAUGUAAUUUACGCUUGAUUACACUUAUUUACGCUUGAAUGCUUUACGCUGAUAAGUUUAUGCUUAUGUUUGAUGCUUGCGUCUGUUGGGGGAGGCCUCCCUCAACAGUACGAUGCCGUGUCCGUUGAGGAGGGCCUUCCUCACGGCGCGAUGCCCGUGUCCGCUGAGAGAGGCCUCUCUCGCGGCGCGAUGCCAGUAUGCCAGUAUGCCAGUGUUACAGCGUCUAGUUGGGGGAGCCCUCCCUCAAUAGUACGAUGCCGUGACCGCUGAGGGACGGCCCCCUCUCACGGUGCGAUGCCCGUGUUCGUUGGGGAAACCUUCUCCACGACACGAUGCGUGUUUAGAUUGUUAAUGAUGAAGAUGCGCUCAUGCUGUUUAGAAUUUGGAAAUGUUUAAAGAGCAAAGGUAUUUGAAAAGAAACUUAUGCCUCUUAUGCGAUGUUGUGUUUUGUUGUUGAUGUUAUGUUAUAUGUUUGGCAACUGCCCACUAAGUACUCUUGUACUUAGCCCUUCGUUGUUUAUGUUUGUGCAGGUUGAGCUGUGAUGGGGCGAUGAAGUAUUGCUGAGUGGAGUUUUUGUUCGAACUUAAAGUAGGCUCAGAAAGGAUACAUGUCUUCAUACAUGUAUCUCAGUUAUGCAUUCCGACUGUAAACACUGAUUAUUUCAGUUAGGCCUUCCGUUGCAAACUCUGAUAAUGUUUUUAGCCAAGCCCCUAACGAUGCCUUAUUCCUUUUUAAGGAAUAUUUCACGCGUAUUCAAGCUCUUUGAGUAUUCUUUUAUGNAGAGAGGGGAGUGUCGGCUGUGAUUGAGGUAAAAGGAGAGAUGGGAGAGAGAGAAGGACCGAGAGUCUAAAGAGAGAGAGUUUGGGCUGCAAUUCUUUUCUUUUGGGCCGAAUUCUUUUAAGCUUGGGCCUUAUUCUUUAUUUUGCUGAUGGGCUCUAAUUGUUUAAAGAAUUUGGGCUUAUUCCUUUUUAAAAUUUUGGGCUGAGAAUUGUUUUAAUGGUUUUGGGCUUCCAUAUAAUGAUUUGAACUGGCCAAUUAAAUCAUCUGGGCGUGAAAUAUCUUAAAGUUGGGCCGAACAUUGGGAAGAAUUGCAAGAAAAGAUUGGGCUUCACAUAUAAAUUCGAAAUGGGCCAGUUCUUUUAUUUAAUUGGCCCUUCUCAUUAUUUCUAUUGGGCUCGAUUAAUUAAGGAGUUGGGCUGAUGCAUAUUUUAUGAUGGGCUAUUAUUCUAAUCCCAUUUAUAUUUCGUUGGGCCAGUUUAAUUCAUCACUUGGGCCGAUUAAAUUGCCUAUUGGACUAAGAUUAAUUCUUUCCAGCCCACAUUAAUUAUUAUCUGGACCCCAAUUUAAAUUAUUUUAGCUCGAAGAAUUUUUAACUUAGGCUAAUUUUAAAGCUUGAGCUGAAGUUACUCCUUUGAGCCUACAGAUCUAUUUAGUGAGCCCAAUUAUUUAUCAGUGGGUGAGCCGAUUCGUAUUCAGUAAAUGAGCCGCCCAGUUUAUUAAUUAUUGUUUUUGGACUUCAGACUUUAAAGCAAGCCAUUAUUGUUUAUUUCAUUAAAGCCACUGGUUUAUUUAAUUAAUUGGCUACUCUCUUUUGAGCCUAUUAAUUAUUUGAGGUUACAUAGUAAUUAUGUUUCUAUCGAAAAGCCCGAUAAAUUUCUACGAGGUCACACCUCGUUUAAAGCCGAGUUAGUCUAUUUUUCGAUCGAGUACAAAGGCGAGGUUUAUUUCACGACUAGAAUAUUCCGAUGAGGAAGGAAGAAUCACAGUUUUAUUCGACCGCGUUAGACGAGAAUUAGCUAAAUCUAUUAACGAGGAUUAAUAGUAGAAUUCCCGAUUAUCGCUCAGAAGAUUAGUUCAUGCAUACCAGAUUCAUGCAUAGUUAAAUUACGCUUUCUCAUUAAUUGAGAAUUUUCCUCGAGGCAAUGUCUUAUUUUAUAUUCUCGUGAUUAAGGUCAAGCGCGAGAGUAAGAACUACUCAAGGAGUACAGUACCUUAGCAAAACUUUGCUAUCAGGUGGGCAAUUUCUUACGCGUAAAUAAAAUGCUAUGCAUGUGUUAUGCUUUAAAAUGAAAAUUGGAUCUUCAAGUGUGGUAUGCUUUAUUAUGCUUUACGCUAAAUGAUUUACGCUUGAUUACGCUUAUUUACGCUUGAAUGCUUUACGCUGAUAAGUUUAUGCCUGUGAUUGAUGAUUGCGUCUGUUGGGGGAGGCCUCCCUCAACAGUACGAUGCCGUGUCCGCUGAGGAGGGCCUUCCUCACGGCGCGAUGCCCGUGUCCGCUGAGAGAGGCCUCUCUCGCGGCGCGAUGCCAGUUUGCCAGUGUUCCAGUGUUGACACCGACGUCGAUACUAGCGUCUAUUGGGGGAGGCCUCCCUCAAUAGUACGAUGCCGUGACCGCUGAGGGAGGCUCCCCCUCACGGCGCGAUGCCCGUGUUCGUUGGGGAAGGUCCUUCUCCACGACACGAUGUUUGUUAAUGAAGAUUAUGAUUGUCAAUAAUGAAAAAUGCCCUUAUGCUAUUUAUGAAUUUGGAAAUGUUUAAUGAGCAAAGGAUAUGAAAGAAACUUAUGCCUCUUAUGCGAUGUUGUGUUAUGUUAUUAAUGAUUGUUAUGUUAUAUGCUUGGCAACUGCCCACUAAGUACUCUUGUACUUAGCCUACGUAUGUUUAUGUUUGUGCAGGUUGAGCUGUGAUGGGCGAUGAAGUGUUGCUGAGUGGAGUUUUUGUCGAACUUAAAGUAGGCUCAGAAAGGAUACAUGUCUUCAUACAUGUAUCUCAGUUAUGCAUUCCGCUGUAAACACUGAUUAUUUCAGUUACACCUUCCGUUGCAAACUCUGAUAAUGUUUUAGCCAAGCCCCUAAAAAUGCCUUUUUC